rnacentral:rRNA from 1 species
CCUACGGGAGGCAGCAGUGAGGAAUAUUGGUCAAUGGACGAGAGUCGGAACCAGCCAAGUAGCGUGAAGGAUGAGGGCCCUAUGGGUUGUAAACUUCUUUUAUAAAGGAAUAAAACGAGGCACGUGUGCCUUUUUGCAUGUACCCUAUGAAUAAGGAUCGGCUAACUCCGUGCCAGCAGCCGCGGUAAUACGGAGGGUCCGUGCGUUAUCCGGAGUUAUUGGGUUUAAAGGGUGCGUUGAUGGGAUGUUAAGUCAGUUGUGAAAGUUUGCGGCUCAACCGUAAAAUUGCCGUUGAUACUGGCAGUCUUGAGUGCAGUUGAGGUAGGCGGAAUGCGUGGUGUAGCGGUGACAUGCUUAGAUAUCACGCAGAACCCCGAUUGCGAAGGCAGCUUACUAGACUGUGACUGACACUGAUGCUCGAAAGUGUGGGUAUCAAACAGGAUUAGAUACCCCUGUAGUC